UAAUCCUUCGUCACCGCUUUCAUUCUUCUUUGCAAUCUUAUACCCUACCCUCUCACCGCAUCACCGUAAUCCUUGCAGAGUUUCUUUUGGAUCAAAGUAUGGAAGACGAUGAUUGUGGUGUUUAGGGUUAGAGAAACGACGACGUGAGCAAUGGUCGGAGACGAAGAGGAUUCGUCUAUCUUAAUCAUUGAUUAUCUUUCUUCGUCAUUCGAUUGUCGUGAAGAAGGAAUCAUGUAACUUAGCAGGUUUUCUAAUCGGGAUUUGAGAGUAAUUAUGGUUUUCUAAAACCUGCGGCUUCUUCUCUUUCCCUUAAUCAGAAACCCUAAAUCAACCGAUGUCGCCCCCACCACAAUCAUUUGGUUCUUAAUCACCUCCAAAGCUAUUCAGAAAUGAAGAAGAAUGGAUGUUGUGGACUAUUAGGUCUAAAUCCGGAACAAUUAGGUUAUUUCAGAGACCAUUUGGACUAAUAUAGGGGUUAUAUCCAAGUCUUAGCUUCAGCUUGUGUC